GCGAAACGGAAAUAACACGGUAUAACAUGGACUCCAAACUCAUUUUAAUUUUCUUGGCUAUCGUGACACUUUGCACUGUUGUUAUAGCCUACGACAAAGAGAAGUGCGAUGCUCCCCCUAGCGUAAAAGGUAGGUGCAGGGCCUAUAUACCAAGCUGGGUCUUUAAGAAUAAAAUAUGUGAGCGAAUUAUAUAUGGCGGAUGCGAUGCCACAGCCAACAUAUUUAGUACAAUAGAAGCAUGCAAGACAGCUUGCCAAAACUAGCACUUAACGAAAAUAAAAAGGAAUUAAAAUUCUAAAAUUAACAACAAAACUUGUAAAAAUAAAUCAGAUUUCUAAACGCAGAAAA